AGUGAACGCUGGCGGCGUGCUUAACACAUGCAAGUCGAACGAGAACGGAUUAUAGCUUGCUAUAAUUGUCAGCUAAGUGGCGCACGGGCGAGUAAUGUAUAGGUAAUAUGCCUCUUACUAAGGGAUAACAAAUGAAAACGUUUGCUAAUACCUUAUACUCCUUAUUAACAGAAGUUAAUAAGGGAAAGAUUUAUUGGUAAGAGAUUGGACUGUAUUGUAUCAGUUAGUUGGUGGGGUAAUGGCUUACCAAGACUAUGACACAUAACUGGUUUGAGAGGAUGGUCAGUCACACUGGAACUGAGACACGGUCCAGACUCCUACGGGAGGCAGCAGUGGGGAAUAUUGCACAAUGGACGAAAGUCUGAUGCAGCAACGCCGCGUGGAGGAUGACACAUUUCGGUGCGUAAACUCCUUUUAUAUGAGAAGAUAAUGACGGUAUUAUAUGAAUAAGCACCGGCUAACUCCGUGCCAGCCGCCGCAGUAA
rnacentral:rRNA from 1 species